rnacentral:rRNA from 1 species
GACGAACGCUGGCGGCGUGCCUAAUACAUGCAAGUCGAGCGGAUCACUUCGGUGAUCAGCGGCGGACGGGUGAGUAACACGUGGGCAACCUGCCUGUAAGACGGGGAUAACACCGGGAAACCGGUGCUAAUACCGGAUAAUCCUUUCCUUCACAUGAAGGAAAGCUGAAAGACGGUUUCGGCUGUCACUUACAGAUGGGUCCGCGGCGCAUUAGCUAGUUGGUGAGGUAACGGCUCACCAAGGCGACGAUGCGUAGCCGACCUGAGAGGGUGAUCGGCCACACUGGGACUGAGACACGGCCCAGACUCCGACGGGAGGCAGCAGUAGGGAAUCUUCCACAAUGGACGAAAGUCUGAUGGAGCAACGCCGCGUGAGCGAUGAAGGCCUUUGGGUCGUAAAGCUCUGUUGUUAGGGAAGAACAAGUACCGGAGUAACUGCCGGUACCUUGACGGUACCUAACCAGAAAGCCACGGCUAACUACGUGCCAGCCGCCGCCGUAACAC